rnacentral:misc_RNA from 1 species
AACGCAUAUUGCGCCCAUUGGUAUUCCAUUGGGCAUGUCUGUUUGAGCGUCAUUACAAACCCUCGACCUUGGUCGGUAUUGAGCCGGACUUUGGGUGCAAACCCAAGCUGGUUUUAAAGUGGUAGGCUUUGCUGACUGCCGCUCCAAACCAAAAACAUAGUAAAUCAUACUUGUUGAUGGCGGUGCGGUUCCAGCCUGGAAAAUGACACUUGUGGUUUGACCUCAGAUCAGACAAGGAUACCCGCUGAACUUAA